CAGCAUACUGCCGUGAAUAGUUCCCGGGCCUUGUACACACCGCCCGUCACACCAUAAGAUUGGGAAUACCCGAAGCCUGUGAGCUAACGCAAGAGGCAGCAGUCGAAGGUAGAAUCAAUGAUUGGGGUGAAGUCGUAACAAGGUACC
rnacentral:rRNA from 1 species